rnacentral:siRNA from 1 species
AUCGUAGUAAGCGGUGUUCGUAG